rnacentral:tRNA from 1 species
UAUAUAAAGGUGUAGGGGCACAAAAGAAUUUGGGUCUUUUUGGGGUAGUUCAAUUCUAUCG